GAACCCGUGGCACAGUGGUAGCGCGUGAGAUUCCAGUCCUCAAGGUCAUCCGUUCAAUCCGGGUCGGGUUCA
rnacentral:tRNA from 1 species